rnacentral:rRNA from 1 species
GUAGGGAAUAUUGGACAAUGGGCGAAAGCCUGAUCCAGCCAUGCCGCGUGAUAGAUGAAGGCCCUCUGGGUUGUAAAUAUCUUUUAUCUGGGAAGAAACUCCUCUAUUCUUAGAGGCCUGACGGUACCAGAGGAAUAAGCACCGGCUAACUCCGUGCCAGCAGCCGCGGUAAUACGGAGGGUGCAAGCGUUAUCCGGAUUCACUGGGUUUAAAGGGUGCGUAGGCGGGUUGAUAAGUCAGUGGUGAAAGCUCCGGGCUUAACUUGGAAACUGCCAUUGAUACUGUCAAUCUUGAAUGUCGUAGAGGUAAGCGGAAUGUUGCAUGUAGCGGUGAAAUGCUUAGAUAUGUUACAGAACACCAAUUGCGAAGGCAGCUUACUAUGCGAUAAUUGACGCUGAGGCACGAAAGCGUGGGGAGCAAACAGGAUUAGAAACCCCGGUAGUCC